UCUUUUUGUUAUAUAUUUAAAGUCUAGUCUGCCCAAUGAAAAUUGAAUGGCCGCAGUAUAUUAACUGUGCUAAGGUAGCAUAAUCAUUAGUUUUUUAAUUGAAAGCUGGAAUGAAGGGCUGAAUGAAAAAAUUACUGUCUCUAUUUAAAUAUUUUAAAAUUUUAUUUUUAAGUUAAAAAGCUUAUAUUUUUUUAUUAGACGAGAAGACCCUAUAGAGUUUAAUAAAUAAUUUUUUUUAUUAUUUAGAAUUUAUAGGUUAAGAAAAUAUAUUUAUUUAAUUGGGGUGAUUGAAAAAUUAAAUUAACUUUUUUUUUAUUUUUAUAUUUAUAAAUAAAUUAUAUGAUCCAAUUAUAUUGAUUAUAAGAUUAAAUUACCUUAGGGAUAACAGCGUAAUUUUAUUAGAGAGUUCAAAUCGAUAAUAGAGAUUGCGACCUCGAUGUUGGAUUAAAA
rnacentral:rRNA from 1 species